rnacentral:lncRNA from 1 species
GACUAAUGUGCAUGGUCAAAAAGCAACCAAAACCAUCUCUACUGGUUGUUUACUAUGCCAAGUUGACAGAGAUAUUUUGGAUGUCCUCUAGCCAUCUGUAUCAUGCUUAUGCUUGGUUGAAGCUUUUUUCUUUUCAGAAAAGCUUCAAUAAAAACUUGACUCAGAAGGAUUUACAAUUAAUUGCAUCAGCUGUGGUCUUAGCUGCUCUCUCAGUUCCUCCCUAUAAUCGUGGGCAUGGGACAUCUCAUGUGGAACAAGAAAAUGGAAAAGAACGCAACUCAAGGAUGGCUAAUCUCAUAGGGUUCAUACUUGACCCUAAACUUGAGGGUAGAGAAGUGGUAAUUGCCAUUGAAAGUUGAUGACGUUCAUUAUAUCUUUCAAAUGGUUCCUCAUUUCUAAACAUGAUUCUUUGUUCUUCUUUCAGCUCUCACGGUCAUCCCUUCUGUCAGAAGUGGUAAGAUCUGAAGUCUUUGGUUUGUAUAGUUUAAUCCUGAAUCCAAAUACCUAAACAAAAUUUUCAUUUUUUUGUUGCUUCAAUUUUGAUAAGAUCUCAAGUUUGAUGGUCAAGCUGAUCCUAGACUGAAGCCUGAAUAGGAGAAUUUAUGGGCUUAGAGAUAGUUUAGCCAUUGGCUGUCUGUGAGUGCAUGAUGUCCCCUCCUAGCUGACUAUUGCUGGUUUGAGGCCUUUGUUCCUGAUCAUGCAGAGGCCUAUGGUGGUUUCUUUAAGCCAGCCUGAAUAAUUGAAUAGGUUUCAGAACAAUGCAAAGUACUUAGGAUGUGCUGUAUUUACUAUAUCAAGCACAAUCUACGUCUGCCAGCCACCAUAAUUUUCAUUUUUUCUUUUUCCCUUGGGGAAUAAUAGGAACCACGAGCUGCUUCAAUGUUUCUAUUGCUGAUGUUGAUUCUAUAUUACUGCAAACCUAUAUGGAUUUGUGCCUUAAUUCUAUGGGAUUCAAAAGCAAAUUGCAUCUUCUUUCUUUUCUUCUCUCACUUAGAUAUUGUCUUUUUUCCUGCCUCCCUCUGUACAAAUUGACAGGCUUCCAAAGGUAUCCUGUCCUGUGUAAUGCCAGAAGUAAAGGACCUCUAUUAUCUUUUGGAGCUUGAGUUUCUUCCUCUUGAUCUUGCAUCAAAAGUACAGCCGUUGUUGUCCAAGAUAUCCAAGAUUGGUGGUAAACUUUCUUCAGCAUCCUCUCUACCAGAAGUGCAGCUAUCACAAUAUGUUUCUGCACUGGAGAAACUAGCUGCCCUGAGAUUGCUGAAGCAGGUGAAUGUUUUUGUUUCAACCUCUAAUUGAUUGGCUUCUCCAUCCAUAGCUUAUAGUUUGUCUUUGAGAUAGUAUAGUAUCUGGAAGGCUAUUCUGCUGUGUGACAAAUCUUUAGGAGGUUGUCCUUGCAUUUGUUUAUAGUAUAACUAUAACAAGUUUCUUGCCCAAUCAUACUGCCAUAGAUGUUCAUUUUGUUCUUUUUUCAUGUCAAUGCACAAAAUCUCCACCUUGGCAUAGCCACAAAAGAAUGGUCAAUAAGCCCUUUGAAUUUUUUUUUCAAUGACUUUGUAGGGACUCUUCUUGACAGCAUUGCUGUCCCACUUGCUAAUAGCAUUUAUCUUGUGUUGGCAUUUCAGGUGUCUGAAGUGUAUCAGACAAUGAAAAUUGACAGCUUAUGCAAGAUGAUUCCCUUUGUUGAAUUUUCCUUCUUGGAGAAAAUUUCUAUGGAUGCUGUCAAGUACAAUUUUCUCUCCAUGAAAAUUGAUCACAUAAAGAAUGCUGUUAUUUUUAGUAGCAUGGUGAGUUGAUUCUUACAAGACUAAUAGUUUCCAGUUCCCACUUUGGACCUAUAAAGAGUUCUUUUUGACUGGCGUGCAAAAGAUAUGAUAUUUGUUCAUUUUUUAGACAUGGAAUUUGGGAAUGCCUUCCUGGACAUUUUAUUAUGCAUGAUGCUUAGAAAGCAAGCUGUCUCUUGUUUGGCAUUUUUUUUUUCGUGCUUUUAGAACUCUUAAGCAAGACCUAGGUGCAAGUUGAUUUAGCUUCUCCUUUUGGGUGAGCUAGAAACACAGGGUAAUUGUGUUUUGUCUGGCGGCAUUCUUGAUCAGCAUUUAGACUUUUGGAAAUAUGAGUUUCUCGGUCCAGCGGCACUUCUGAGCUUGUUGGGUUGAUUUUCUUUUGUUUUGUAUAGGGUAUUAGGACAUUUACUUUUACAGAGUAGCCAGGAAAAGAAGUUGAAUGCCUUUCUAUCAGGGUGGUCUAUGCAGACAGCAAUUUGAUUUAUCAGUGAAAACUGGUGCAUGUAUCCAGAUGGUUGUUUCUUUUUUGGAACAAGUUGGUGGCUAUUCACUUUAAUUUUGUUUUGAUGGAUAAUGCAAGAGCUAGAACACAUUGCAUUCUAAGUGUUCUAGCCAAUUAAAGAAUUCAUGGAUUUGGAGAUUGUCCAUUUUCAACUGCCUCGUUCUUACUUAUUACAGCUUCUUCAUGCUAAAGUAGGUUUUUUUUUUUGUUUUUUUUUUGUGGCUCAAUUGCCUGAGUUGUCCAUAAGAGCAAUAAGUAGAAUCUUCAAAUUACCAAUUGGGUAACAACAAUGAUAAUUUGGUUUCAGGAUAUCGAAGCUGAGGGCUUCCGGGGCCAACUGAUGUUUUUGGCUGAGUUAUUGAAUAAAUCAAGGGCAAUGAUACACCGACCAGAAGAGAAAGCUUCUAAAAUCGGACUUGUGCUUCCAGGUCUGUCAGAGACUGUUGAAAAGGAGCACAAGAGACUUCUUGCUCGGAAGUCAAUUAUUGAGAAACGCAAGGAAGAACAAGAACGCCUACUUUUGGAGAUGGUAUGGAUGAAUCUUCAGACCAUUUUGGCUUGUUUUUAAUGCUUGACAGUUACCUGUCUUUUUUUUUAAUAAUAAUUUGGAUGAAUGAUUUUUUAAAGGAGCGGGAAGAGGAAACUAAAAGGCUAAAACUACAAAAGUUAACUGAAGAGGCAGAACAAAAGAGGCUUGCAUCAGAGUAUGAACAAAGGAAGAAUCAACGAAUACUUAAAGAAAUAGAGGAGAGAGAACUUGAAGAAGCACAAGCAUUACUCCAGGAGGCUGAAAAGCGCAGUAAAAAGAAGGGAAAGAAGCCUGUCCUAGAGGGAGUAAGUCAAUUGUCACUAUCAUCUAUGUCUCAUCUGAGAGUUAAAAAAUACAUCAUUCACAAUUGUUUGAUUUUCAGGAAAAAGUGACAAAGCAAACUCUAAUGGAGUUGGCACUGAGUGAGCAACUCAGAGAAAGAUUGGAAAUGGAAAAAAAAUUGCAGAAGCUUGUUAAGACAAUGGAUUUUUUAGAAAGAGCAAAAAGAGAAGAAGCAGCCCUUUUAAUUGAAUCUGCCUUUCAACAUCGUCUGAUUGAAGAGAAGAUCCUUCAUGAACGCGAACAGCGGGUAUGGCUUUUAUUUGUCAAUUUGCUGCUGCCAUGGUUGGCAGCUGUUGAUACCUAAGUUUCUUAAAUUGUUUUGAGGGCUCUUUUUUGCUAUUUUUGUUUGCUUUAAAGUAUUACUGCACUGUAACUUUGCAACAUUUUUUUUGGUUUCUACUUUGCAACAUAUUUUCUUAUCACAAUUGCCAUAAUUUACAUUUUACUAAAUCGGUGCCGCUUUAGCAAGAAAUUGAGUUGAGUAGAGAGCGCCAUGAUGGAGAUCUCAAGGAGAAGAAAAGAUUGGCGCGGAUGUUCGAACAUAAGGUUUGUAGCCCCUCAAUCCCAUAUUAAGUGUAUUAAUAUCUGUUCACCUUUUUAAAUGUGCUUUCUUGUAGAAAAGUAUUUCCUGUUAAAUAUUAAGUAUUUCAGAAUUUGCAUUUGCCUUGAAUUGACUAAUGUGGUGUUCCAUAUUUGAUUUCUGCUUUCUCUUUAAGUUAUUGUAUUAUUUCAAAUUUUCUUAAUACCCUUGCCAAGUCAGUUAGAAUCUUGAUUUGCGAUACAGAUAGAUGGGCUCCUCUUUUGUCUCUGAUUGGCAUGAUAAUUGAAAUUUGGAAUUGUGGUUUUCUAUUGAGAAAAUGACGUUGCUACAAUAAUUUUCAAUAUGCCUCUUUCUUAUUUCGUUUUACUUUUUGUUUUCAGAGAAUGCUGCAAUUAGUCUAGUGGACCAUGUUCCACUUUAAUUUGCACCUUGCUCCGGCAGCCACCAAACUUUUUGUUAAAUCCAGUUGAAAGCUUGCUAUCACAUCCAUCAUUUCUAUGUCACUGUAUAUAAGUACCCUUGGCCAGAUUGACUUGGAAAGUUGUCAUUGGUUGUCGAUAUCGCUUUAGCACUAUUAAAUUUAUCUGUUGUCCUUGUGUUCAAAUGAAAUUGAAAAAGUUGGGUGCAUAAUGAAGAUAGGCAUGGUAUGAAUGAAAAGUUUACCAGCUUCUUAGGAGGAGGUAAAAUUGUAGAUUUCGAGGGAUGAGCAACUACACUUAUUUAUUUGUUGUAGGUUUUCUUUGUGCCUUUCAACAUUGUCUGGUUGCAUAAGUGAACAGCAAUUUUUGAAUUUUGAAAUGAAAUGCAAACUUUAUUCAGUUGAUCAUAUGUUGGUUAAGCACGGUUACUUUUAACUACACGGCUUACAUUAUGAAGAGAUGUUGGUGUUGAUUUUCAGUCAACUUGGUAUUGAAAUUUCACCUUAUCUGUACAGCACCAGUUCCAGGAUAAAGUCAUGAACCGUCGGCAGACAGAAUAUGACAGGCUGAAAACUGAGAGAGCAGAAAGGAUCAAUCACAUUCUCCAACAGAGGAGACAGGAGAUGGAAAUUAAGAGGAAGAUGUUGUUCUUUUUGAAAUCUGAAGAGC